UACGGGGGGGGCAAGCGUUGUUCGGAAUUACUGGGCGUAAAGGGCUCGUAGGUGGCCAACUAAGUCAGACGUGAAAUCCCUCGGCUUAACCGGGGAACUGCGUCUGAUACUGGAUGGCUUGAGUUCGGGAGAGGGAUGCGGAAUUCCAGGUGUAGCGGUGAAAUGCGUAGAUAUCUGGAGGAACACCGGUGGCGAAGGCGGCACUCUGGGCCGGUACUGACGCUGAGGAGCGAAAGCGUGGGGAGCGAACAGG
rnacentral:rRNA from 1 species